GGGCAAUAAUGUGUAUAAUUGUAGGGGAAUCUACAAUAAUUGUUUCUUACGAGACUUUUAUUUUGGUCUUUGCCAAGGGCGCCGCCAUUUUGUGCGCACGUUAGCAUCAAGGUGAGAGUGAGAGUGUGCUCGCUGAGGUUUCUGUGAUCUUCGGGUUGUUCAUACCGCUGGAAAGUAGCGUUAGACCCGCGAUUCGCAUUUGUGCCGUCUGCUGUUUCGAUUAAGUGUCCGGUCCCGUUAACUCUUGGAGUUGUUAUAUGCGACGGAGUGAGUUUUGCGCUGUAUAUGAACGCGAGCGAGGCUGUGAAAAGCGCCUGCUAACGCUAACGUGACUGGAGUCAAUUACUCCCGUGUUUAUUUUGUGUUUCAUCCAGUUUUUGUUUUAUUUGAUCAAACGAACUUAAAACGCUAUGGUGUGUCGUGUGAAGAGAGUGUUGAGUUUUCGGAUGGCUGUAGAUCGUUUAUUCGUCUCAACACUUUUGUACGCAGAAUAACAUUUCUCUCUUGUGAGUGAACCGAACUGUGAAUUGUAUCACUGAGCGAACCCCUAUUCAUGGAACAGUGAACGAACUUGUGGCAAAAGGAUUCAGAGAAGGGACCGUAUCAAAAAAACACUCGCCUGGACAUCCGCUCCUGAAAGACUUCGCCACGUACCUGGAGAAAGACCUCCAGAAUGAACAUUUCAAACAGGAGGUGGAAAACGUGGCUAGAUUUCUCCACUUCAUGGACCCACAACAGCCGUCCCUGUUGUUUGUGAGGAACAGGGAGAAAUCAAAGCUGUAUCUCGAUGAGGCCAAGUUGACCAAACAGACUCCACUCAACCACCUGAAGAGCCUGAAAAGAGACGUUCAACGCGCAGUCUCUAUGCAGCAGUUCGUCGCUGUGCAUAAGGUCCAAGCAGUUCAUCGAGUACAUCGGGUCUCUGCAGAAAAGCUGCGCGAAAUUAGUGAGCGAGGAAAUCGUCCAGAAGAGGUAAGCGUCAGCGGUAGCGCCAGCCCUCGUGUGCAGCCCGACGUGUGUAAAGACCUUGCCAAGACCUGCGCGACUCCU